rnacentral:rRNA from 1 species
UACGGGGGGUGCGAGCGUUGUCCGGAAUCACUGGGCGUAAAGGGCGCGUAGGUGGCCUGAUAAGGGUGUGGUGAAAGUCCGGGGCUCAACCCCGGAUCGGCCGUGCCGACUGUUAGGCUAGAGUACUGUAGGGGCAGGCGGAAUUCCGGGUGUAGCGGUGAGAUGCGUAGAUAUCGAGAGGAACACCAGAGGUGAAGACGGGUUGCUGGGCCGACACUGACGCUGACAGCGCGAAAGCCAGGGGAGCAAACGGG